AGGAUGAACGCUGGCGGCGUGCUUAACACAUGCAAGUCACGGGGGCCCAGCAAUGGGUAACCGGCGAACGGGUGCGUAACACGUGAGCAACCUACCGAAAUGAGGGGGAUAGCCGGCCCAACGGCCGGGUAAUACCGCAUACGCUCGAGACCAGGCAUUUGGACUCGAGGAAACCUCCGGGGCAUUUCGAGGGGCUCGCGGCCUAUCAGCUAGUUGGUGAGGUAACGGCUCACCAAGGCGACGACGGGUAGCUGGUCUGAGAGGAUGGCCAGCCACAUUGGGACUGAGAUACGGCCCAGACUCCUACGGGAGGCAGCAGUGGGGAAUCUUGCGCAAUGGCCUAACGGCUGACGCAGCGACGCCGCGUGAGGGAUGACGCUCUUCGGAGUGUAAACCUCUUUUGCCUGAGACGAAUUGCCAGCUUCAGCUGGUUUGACUGUAUCGGUGAAUAAGCACCGGCUAACUCCGUGCCAGCAGCGCGU
rnacentral:rRNA from 1 species